rnacentral:lncRNA from 1 species
UUCUCUCUCCUAGGGCACCAAAUCUCAACCUGGAUUUCACUGUUGGGGUUUGUUAGGUUUCACUUUGUUAAUAAGUCCUAGUUAUUAGUUAUUAGGGACAUGCAGUUAGUAUUUGACUCAUUCCUGCAAUCAUGUACCACGCAUUUAGAGUUAUGCUGUGUGUGGGUUGUUGUUUUAUUAUUCAGUUUCUUUUGUAAGGUUAUAUAAGCCAGUACUUGUUAAUUAUGAAUAUUGAGGUAUUCACACAAGCUUUAUUGUUCUGUUCUUGAGUUUUUGGGUUCAACAUUCACUCUCCUCCACAACCAUGAUCGACGAUCCUUCCGCUCCGACGACCCAAGACCCGAAUCCCCAACCCGAUAACCUGAUUCCCCAAUCCAUUGUGCAAGUGGAUGCACAAGGUAAGCACAAUUUACUCAUACAUGGUUUUUGAACGCAAUGCUAUGUUCUCUUAAUUUCUCCCUCAGGAUGUCUAUUCAGCUGGUGAUAGCUGAAAUGCCUGUGCUGCCAUCUCUAAUAUUCUUUAACGUGUGGUAACAAAUAUCAAUUAUUAUUGUCAACUUGUCAUAUACAUAUUUUUUGUACGUAUAGUUUGGGGAAUGGUUAUUUGGUGUUACUGUUAUGUCAAACAUGCUCUGAUGCUUUUGCGAGAUAUUUGGUUUUGUUUAUGUAGGACUUAUUCGUUAUCCCUCUCCAUGUCCUACAAUGGUUCGACCUGGUUUUCCCUCACGGCCACCUAGAGGAAUUGGUAUGCUUCCAUCUAUACAACGCCCUCCUAUGCUGGGAAUUCCUGGGGUUCGCCCCAUUAUGCCUCCUGUUGUUAGGCCAGUUGUUCCUAGUGUUACUCCAGCUGAGAAACCACAAACAACUGUCUUUGUCGGCAAGAUAGCCCCAACAGUAAACAAUGAUUUCAUUUUAUAUCUCCUUCAGGUAUAUCAUCAAACUCUGUGAUCUCUGUUCUUUCAUAUCAAACCUUAUUCCUUUGGUGUAUGGUUUUACGUUUCUAAGCACUAAUGGUUUUACAUUUUAUUAAGUUAUGUGGACCUGUCAAGCUUUGGAAGCGUGCUCAAGAUCCCACAGAUGGGACUCCGAAAGGCUUUGGGUUUUGUGAAUUUGAAUCUGCUGAAGGGGUUCUUCGUGCAUUACGCCUUCUGAGUAAAUUCAACAUUGAUGGGAAGGAGCUGGUGGUAUAUCAUAAUUCAUACUACAGCUAUCUUUUCGUUGUUAUUGCCAUAUAACUUUUGAAACCAUAUCCUGCUUAUAUAUAUUAUAUUUUAUAAAAAUUUCGGUUACUAAUUCUCUCUAUAUUGAAAUUUUUGUACAACUUCAAACAGUUAAUUGUUAAACAAGCAACACGAGAGUAUCUGGAGCGGUUUGUAGAAAAGAAAAUUGAAAACACAAAGAAGCUAAAAGACAGUCAAGCUGAGGGAGAUGAGAAAGAGGGUCAGAGUACCAUUGAUAAGACUGUAGUUCCAAAUUCUGUUGUGGAUUCGAAGGAGGAGGACAAUAAUUCAGGGAACAAAGAGAGCAUCAGUAAAAACUUUGGGAUCGUGACGGAUGAAGACAAGGAAGCUGACAGGGUGGCUUUGGAGAAGCUUACAAGCUUGAUAGAGGAGAGAUUAAAAACGAAUCCUCUGCCUCCACCACCGCCACUUGCUCCUGGGAAUUCCAUCUCAGAGCCUCCGGCUAACUCAAGGGACGGAGACCCUAAUGUGGAUAUAGCAAGAAAUGGUAUAGUUUCAAACUUUCUAUUGCUAUCAUACUGGAGAUUGUUAGUUUGUUGUGUGUGCGUCAAUUUCUUGUUUCUUUUGUACUAUUGCCUUGGGCUUGUGUUAGUGUGUUGUGUGUGCAUCCUUUAAGCUCUUUGAGGCCAUACAUCGAUCCUAAAGGCCUAACUUUUCUUUAUUUAAAAUCUUUAAUAGAAUAUGUUUAUUUACUUGGAAUAAACAGAUACCAUUUCUAGAGAGGCCGCGAUUUGCUUACCUAUUUUGGUACCAAAGUUUGAGAUGCAUUCUUGAGUAUGUUGUGUUAAUAAACGCGUCAAAGAUAUCGGGUAUUAGAGUUUGACUCUUCAUAUUCAUGUUUAUGUUCUAAAACAAGGUCGCGCUACUUGCCUUGACGAAGCCUAGGCCCUCCAAACCAACCAUCAGUCCUAGUAGGGCCUAGCGAGUUUCGACCACUGAUCAGAGUUCUAAAACAAGACCGCCUAACUCCCCUAAGCGGUUUUUAGGGGCUCCAAGGCAACCAUCCGCCCUAAUAGCGCUUAGUGAGUUUUUGAAUAGUAUGGGUUUGUGUAAGAAUUAUUAACAUACAUCUUGCUCUAAACCACACACAAACCCAAUAGCCACCAGGUCACCAUGUCAAGCCCACCUUCUACAAAAGCAUGUGAGCCCAGCCCACGACUACAUAAGGUCAGGGAAGCUGGGCCAAACCGACUAACAAAGUAAUAAGUAGUGCAUACAAGAGGAGUAACAGAAGGAUAACCUAGUCUUAGUGGGUAUUUGUCCCACAUUGUUUGGAAGCAUUCAAAUUCAUCAAAGAUAUCCAAUUACCAACAUUAAUUGUAAUCACUCUCACUUCUAAGUUGUUACUAUGCCGAAAAACUAGUGUUAUACUAAACACUGACUUAGGCAUUAGAGUGACUUAGAUCGCAGUUGGGUGUAUCUUGUAGCAUGUAUAGUGAUUUAGUAUCUGCUUUGUAAAUUGUAAUGGAAUAGAGAAUUACGAUAGAAACAAACAUAUACAACUUCACUUCAUGAAUUCGACCUAAUGUAUUACUUGAACUAUAAAUUAGUUUGUCACGAAACUAAUAACGGCGGUCUAAGAUUUAUUGAAUACCAUUUUUCAAACAACCAAACCAAAUAAUUUACCAAUCAUGACGCAUUCAUCCGUAUCACCCUUGUGAAUGCACAAACCCGCACAAAUAUUACCUAAACUAUAAGUUAAACUGUCCCACCAAACUAAUAACGGUCAUAAACAAACAGUUUACCAUUAACAGCUCAAUAAUUUGUAUUACCCGCGUAAAGACGCGAACUCGUGACACUACGUAUUACUUAAACUACAAGUAUUAUUUCAAAUUCUUCAUCGAGUAGUAUAUCACAAUGUCAACAAAGUAAGAAGGAGAAAAUGCAUACCCAACAAGGCCCAAAUUCCCCCAAAUUUCUCUUCAUCGAUUUGUUAUAGCUAACCCAACCCGGAAGUAUUUUCCUAAACCAAUACAGAAAACACUACCGUCACCGGAGCCUGAAAUGGCCCGUUCAAAAACUGGGACCAAUCAAAAUGCGCCACGUGUCACAAAAAAAAAGCAAAUUCUACUUGUAAAUACAACUCUCACCUCCCACAGGCCCCAACUACAUAAAGCUCUCCCUUUCUCUCUCCUAGGGCACCAAAUCUCAACCUGGAUUUCACUCUCCUCCGCAACCAUGGCCGACGAUCCUUCCGCUCCGACGACCCAAGACCCGAGUCCCCAACCCGAUAACCCGAUUCCCCAAUCCCAGCAACCCGAUCCCCCACCCGCUUCCACCCCAUUCCAAUUGAACAAUCCCAAUCCCAAUCCGCCUCUAGUCUCUCUCCCGC